rnacentral:rRNA from 1 species
UACGUAGGGGGCAAGCGUUGUCCGGAUUUAUUGGGCGUAAAGAGCUCGUAGGCGGUUUGGUAAGUCGGAUGUGAAAUCUCCAGGCUCAACCUGGAGUGGUCAUUCGAUGCUGCCAUGACUAGAGUUCGGUAGGGGAGUGUGGAAUUCCUGGUGUAGCAGUGAAAUGCGUAGAGAUCAUGAGGAAGACCAGUGGCGAAGGCGGGUCUCUGGACAGUUCCUGACACUGAGGCACGAAGGCCAGGGGAGCAAACGGG